rfam:Subdoligranulum variabile DSM 15176 genomic scaffold Scfld2, whole genome shotgun sequence.
UGCCGAAACCGCCAGAGAUGGCGGUCUGCCGGGGAUGGCCGCCCGGUACUGAUGAGGCAGGCCAAG